rnacentral:rRNA from 1 species
UACGUAGGGCGCGAGCGUUGUCCGGAUUUAUUGGGCGUAAAGAGCUCGUAGGCGGCUUGUCGCGUCGACUGUGAAAACCCGUGGCUCAACCAUGUGGUCUGCAGUCGAUACGGGCAGGCUAGAAUUCGGUAGGGGAGACUGGAAUUCCUGGUGUAGCGGUGAAAUGCGCAGAUAUCAGGAGGAACACCGGUGGCGAAGGCGGGUCUCUGGGCAAUAACUGACGCUGAGGAGCGAAAGCGUGGGGAGCGAACAGG